UGGGCUUUUCUAUGCUUUGUUUCCAAUAAUCCAACACUGAUUCCAAAAGGUAUCACCCCUUCACAAAAAAAAAUCAAACAUUUCUUCAAUGGAAUUGGUAUCGUUAUGAUGAAGUCUCAAAUUAUUUGCAAAAUGCCACAUAGAAAUAAAAGUGUCCCUAGGAUUUCUACAUAAGUAAACGAGUUUGGUUCUUGAAUCUUGAACAAACUUUGGUUCUCCCAAACCCAAGAAUGCCUGAUCAACAACAAAUCCUAACAAAUCUACUCUCUGUAAUAUAUCUAAUGAUGAAUAUCAUAUCUUGGAAUAUUAGAGGGAUAAGGUCGCAGGGAUCCCUGGAAAGGCUUCAAGACUUCAAACUUCAAUAUCAAAUUCCUUUAUUUUACCUACAAGAACCAAUGGUUAAUAGUAGCAAAUCAUCAGAUUCAAGAGGAGAUUGGGCAUGCCUUUCUUCUUUCCAUAAUUAUUCUAACAAAAUUUGGCUCUUUUGGAACGCUGAUGUUACUGUGGAUGUUAUACAGGAUAAAGAACAUGUUCUUAUCAAAAUAGUCCAUAACACUGAUCCUGCUUUGUAUCUAUCUAUUGUUUAUGCCAAAUGUAGUAAAGCUCUCAGAGUGGAGUUAUGGGAUGACCUGAGGAACAGAGCUGCUUCAAUGAAUGAUGCUUGGGGGCUGGUUGGCGAUUUUAACACUAAUCACAGAAUGGAGGAAAGUCUUGACUUUCUGUCUUGCCUUAACGAUUGUGGUCUUCAAGAUAGAGGAUAUAGUGGGUCUAUAUUUACUUGGUGUGACAAUAGAGAUCCCCCAAACACUAUCUGGAAAAGAUUGGAUAGACUAGUUUAAAACUCUAAAUGGUUUGACAACCUAAAUGCUACAUCUAUCAUCCACCUAUCUAGAACUUGUUAUGUUCAUGCUCCCCUCCUUAUCAAAAUCAGUAAUGAGACUACCAACUUCAUAAAGUACUUCAAAUUUCUUAACAUUUGGGUUGAUCAUCCAGAUUUUCUUCGCGUAAUCCAGGAAAGUUGGGGUAUCCAAAUUAGUGGAAACCCCCUCUUUAUGCUCCAUCAGAAACUUAAAACUACUUGCGGGAACCUUAGUCUCUGGUCUAGGCAAACCUAUGGAGAUAUCCAUGAAGAGCACAAAUGACUAGAGGAGCAGAUGAGAGUUCUUGAAGAUAACUAUGUUCAAAGCAACAAUGCUGAUAAGAGAGAGGCCCUCUCUAGAUGUAGAGCUGAGCAUACUAGAUACCUCAAAUUCCACCACUCGAUCUUGAGAUAAAAAACUAGGAUAAAGUGGUUUGAAGAGGGUAAAUCCAAUGCAGCCUAUUUUCACAACAUCAUCAAAGAUAGGAGAAAAAGACAGACCAUCAGGAAAAUCAUGAAUGAACAGGGUCAGUGGAUUGAAGGAAAUGAUUCUAUUUCCGAAGCUGAUGUUUGAUACUUUCAAGAUCUUUUCAACAAGGAAGAUCAUAACUCUUCCCAGGACCCUCUAAAUUGUAUUCAGAGAUGUAUCACUGAAGAGGAGAAUAACACUAUUAUGGCCAUCCCUUCCCUCCAAGAGGUUAAAGACAUAGUUUUCUCCAUGGACGUUGACAGUCCACCGGGCCUAGAUGGACUUAGUGUCUGUUUCUAUCAAACCGCAUGAUCUAUAAUCGCCACUUAUCUUUAUAAUGCUAUUGUCUCCUUCUUUGAAGGUGCAACCCUCCCUAAAUACUUCACUCACACAUGCUUGAUUAUGGUUCCUAAAGUUGACCAUCCUCAGAAAUUCAGUGACCUCAGACCCAUCAGCCUUUGUAACGUGUCUAGUAAGAUUAUCUCUAAACUAUUGAAUGCCAGACUAGCCACUAUUCUACCUAGAAUAAUUUCCAAGAACCAGAGUGCUUUUGUGAAGGGUAGAGCUGUCACGGAAAGCAUCCUCCUUACCCAAGAGACUAUAAAUGAUAUCAGGAAGCCUACUAGAGGGAAUAAUGUUGUCAUCAAACUUGACAUGACUAAGGCACAUGACAGAGUAUCUUGGUCUUUUUUAUGCUCUAUCUUAAAGAAAAUGGGUUUCUCUGAUGUUUGGGUGAACCUUAUCCACAAGUACAUUUCCAACAACUGGUACUCUGUUAUUGUGAAUGGUACCAGAAAUGGUUUCUUUAAAUCGGGAAGGAGUUUAAGACAAGGGGAUCCCUUGUAUCUGUCUCUAUUUAUACUUAGUGCUGAACUCCUGUCUCAAAUGCUCAAUGCUCUCCAGAGAAAACCAGGAUAUAAUGGUUUCUACAUGAGAGAUAAUUGCCCCCAUAUCAACCACCUAUCAUUUGCAGAUAACACCAUUUUGUUCUAUAAUAGUGGGAAAAAACCUCUAAAAAUGGUUCUUGAGACCCUCAAAUCCUAUGAAGGAAUCUCCGGUAACUUAUAAAUAGGCACAAGAGUGGCUUUGUGGUUGCUGAGAACACUAGACCUCGUGAUAUUGUCUGGCUUCAUAACAUCACUGGGAUGAACCACCAGAAAUUUCCUAUCAAAUAUUUGGGGUGUCCUAUCAUUGUUGGGAAGAAGAAAAUCUCUUAUUUUUCUGACAUUGUGAACAAAUUUACUAGUAGAAUAAGGGGUUGGCACACAAAACUACUUUCUCCAGGGGGGAAGGUCCAUCCUCAUCAGACAUGUCUUCAUGGCUCUUCCUAUACACCUCUUAUCAAUGGUUACUCCUCCUAAGGUCACUCUCGAAACUAUUGAGAAAUUCUUAAAUAGAUUUUUCUAGUCGGGGUUGGACAAUGGUGGUAAACAUCAUUGGGCUUCUUAGGACAACCUUUGCCAUCCCUACAAUGAGGGGGGCACCAACUUUAGAAAGCUCUCGGAUAUUUGUCAAUCCUUCAGUGCUAAAUAGUAGUGGUCUUUAAGAACCUCUAACUCCCUGUGGAGUGAAUUGAUGAAAGAAAAAUACUUGGUCGAGAAUCAUCAUCUGAAGGCAAAAUGGAAAAAAGGGCAAGCUCCCUCCUGGAAAGCUCUUUGUGCUACUGGGGAGGUGAUUGAUCAUAACAUUCUCUGGAUAGUUGAUAAAGGGGAGGUAUCCUUCUGGUCCGAUAACUGGAGUAACUUUGGCCCCCUUUAUCACAAAUUGACAACAAAUACUGACAUCUUAGAUGUGCAGCUUAAAGAAGUUUGCCACAAUGGAGAAUGGGAUUGGAAUAUGCUGAACAUUUCCUUACCUGAAGAUGGAAAACGAAGGAUCUUGAAGCAAAAAAAUACUAGUAUAAACAACAACAAAGAGGACAAACUAGUGUGGAUUCUUUCCCACACUGGAAAAUUCUCUCUUUGUUCUACUGGGAGGGAAUUGAGGCAAGAAAGAGCGCCCAACAACCUUGACAGCAGGCUAUGGCAGAACAACAUACCCUUUAAGAUGUAAUUCCUCACGUGGAGAGCCAUCCAUAAUAAACUCUCCACAGAUACGAAUGUUUCAAGGCUAGGAAUCCAUAUGGAUCCCAUGUGUUAUUGCUGUAACAGUAGUAGAGGUGCCACCGAGCUUGAAUCAGUUAACCACUUAUUUUGUCAUGGAGAUUUUGCUAACAAGAUGUGGUCUUUUUUUGCAUGUCCCCUGGGGAUAAAUACGAGCAACCCCAAUUUGAAGUUCACCCUUCUCAGUUGGUGGAACCACAAGACCAAGAACCCCAUCUGCUCACUUAUAAUUAAAAUUAUUCCUGGCAAGAUGUACUAACAAGUAUGAAGGAGAAAGACCUUCAUUAUAUCAAUCCUCCUCUAAUGUAUUAUUCAAUAUUUUACUGGUUCUAAGGAAGAGAUUUGGAAAUGCGAGGAUUGGAGACACUUGGAACUCUGUCUGUCGGGCCUGUGAUCGAGAUAUUCAUCAAACAAAAUCUACCAUCGUCAAAUGGAUUAGACCUCAAACAAACUCGUUAAAACUCAACAGUGAUGAAAGUUGUAUUAAUGGUAAGUGUGGGGGAGGCGGAAUGGUAAGAGAUAACACAGGGAAAAUUAUUUUUGCCUAUGCGAACCAUUAGACCCAGGUUCCAGAAACUAUGCCGAAGUUGCUGCUAUGCUCUUUGGCCUGGUGGUUCUUGAAUAAUGACUCAAGACCUGUUUGGGCGGAAACUGACUCACUGCUUUUAACAAAUUGCAUGAAAAAAGUUUGGAAAACUUCAUGGAAGUUAGCUAGUAUUGUUGACGAUAAUCAGAAACUAGUUGAAAAGAGUUGACUUUCAUAUUACUCAUUGCUUUAGAGAGGCUACUAAGCCAGCUGACAGGCUAGACGCUUUGAGCCACAGAAGUGCUGAGAUUCAAAUCUUCAACUCUUUCUCCGUCUUGCCCCUCGAAGUGAAAGGAUUUGACCAACUUGGAUAGAUGGGGUAUCCCAUCCAUAAGAAUCAAAGAUGUUUCGGAUAACCAUAUCGUAUAUGAUACCUCUUAGUGGCUUGACCUGUUAAGCUCUUUCGGGUAGGAUUACCAAUUCUAUAUUAGCCUCAUCUCAAUGAUUUUGUAUACAGUCUGGGAUGCCAGACUUAACUUGUAACUUUUUUGCACAUCAAUGUUCGAUGAAGGCUGGGUUGAAUUAAAAAAAAAAAACAAAGUUGUUGUUGUGGGUUUUGUCAACUUCCCAAAGGCAGAAAGUUAGAUUUGACAAGACAUUAUUGAAAUUGGUGAGAUAAUGUCCAAGUCCCUUUGCUUGUAGUUAUACUCAAUUACGAUUAAUUACUCCUAAUAAAAGGUCGAUAGAUACUUUGUACUAUCAACUAGUAUAAAUUCACCCAAAAGACCAUUAAUAAGACUUAUCAUUAGAACCGAUGAGAUAAGGCAUAGUCUCUUUGCUUGUACUUACGCUUAUCUAAAAUUUAUUAUUUUAGUUAUAGACUAGGUCAUUGGAAC
rnacentral:lncRNA from 1 species